rnacentral:misc_RNA from 1 species
GAUGAAGAACGCAGCGAAAUGCGAUAAGUAAUGUGAAUUGCAGAAUUCAGUGAAUCAUCGAAUCUUUGAACGCACAUUGCGCCCCCUGGUAUUCCGGGGGGCAUGCCUGUUCGAGCGUCAUUUCACCACUCAAGCCUCGCUUGGUAUUGGGCAACGCGGUCCGCCGCGUGCCUCAAAUCGACCGGCUGGGUCUUCUGUCCCCUAAGCGUUGUGGAAACUAUUCGCUAAAGGGUGCUCGGGAGGCUACGCCGUAAAACAAACCCAUUUCUAAGGUUGACCUCGAAUCAGGUAGGGAUACCCGCUGAACUUAAGCAUAUCAAUAAGCGGAGGA